GAUGAACGCUGGCGGCGUGCCUAACACAUGCAAGUCGAACGGAGUUUGCAUUAGGAAGUCUUCGGACGGAAAAAUGUAAACUUAGUGGCGGACGGGUGAGUAACGCGUGGGCAACCUGCCUUAUACAGGGGGAUAACAGUUGGAAACGACUGCUAAUACCGCAUAAGCGCACAGCACCGCAUGGUGCAGUGUGAAAAGGAGCAAUCCGGUAUAAGAUGGGCCCGCGUCUGAUUAGGCUGGUUGGCAGGGUAACGGCCUACCAAGGCGACGAUCAGUAGCCGGCUUGAGAGAGUGACCGGCCACAUUGGGACUGAGACACGGCCCAAACUCCUACGGGAGGCAG
rnacentral:rRNA from 1 species